rnacentral:rRNA from 1 species
GCUUGUCUCAAAGAUUAAGCCAUGCAUGUCUAAGUAUAAACGACUUUAUACUGUGAAACUGCGAAUGGCUCAUUAUAUCAGUUAUAGUUUAUUUGAUGGUCCUUGCUACUUGGAUAACCGUAGUAAUUCUAGAGCUAAUACAUGCAUCAAACCCCGACUUCUGGAAGGGUCGUAUUUAUUAGAUAAAAGGCCAGCCGGGCUUUGCCCGACCUGCGGUGAAUCAUGAUAACUUCACGAAUCGCACGGCCUCGUGCCGGCGAUGUUUCAUUCAAAUUUCUGCCCUAUCAACUUUCAACCGUAAGGUAGUGGCCUACGGUGGUGGUAACGGGUGACGGAGGAUUAGGGUUCGAUUCCGGAGAGGGAGCCUGAGAAACGGCUACCACAUCCAAGGAAGGCAGCAGG